GACGAACGCUGGCGGCGUGCUUAACACAUGCAAGUCGAGCGAACAGACGAGGAGUUUGCUCCUCUGACGUUAGCGGCGGACGGGUGAGUAACAUGAGGAUAAUCUCCUUAUAAGACUGGGAUCACCUCGGGAAACCGGAUCUAAUCCCGGAUAAGAUACUGAACCGUAUGGGUGAAUAGAAAAAGACGGCGUUGGUGUCUGUUAUAGCUGCUUCCGCGCUGCGUUAGCUGGUUGGGAGGUUCACGGCCUUUGAAGGCAACCAGGCGUAGCCGAGGUGAGAGAGUGGUCGCCCACACUGGAAGUGAGACACGGUCCAGGCUACUACGGGAGGCAGCAGUAGGGAAUGUGACGCAGUGGGCGAGAGUCUGACGGAGCGGCGCCACGUGAGUGGUGGAAGUCUUCGGAUCGUAAAGCUCUGUUAUUGGGGGAGAACAGAUGUGUAAGUAGCUGUGCACGUCUUGACGGUACCUGGUCAGGAAGCCACGGCUAACUACGUG
rnacentral:rRNA from 1 species